rnacentral:rRNA from 1 species
UGGGGAAUAUUGGACAAUGGGCGAAAGCCUGAUCCAGCAAUGCCGCGUGAGUGAUGAAGGCCUUAGGGUUGUAAAGCUCUUUUACCCGGGAUGAUAAUGACAGUACCGGGAGAAUAAGCUCCGGCUAACUCCGUGCCAGCAGCCGCGGUAAUACGGAGGGAGCUAGCGUUGUUCGGAAUUACUGGGCGUAAAGCGCACGUAGGCGGCUUUGUAAGUUAGAGGUGAAAGCCUGGAGCUCAACUCCAGAAUUGCCUUUAAGACUGCAUCGCUCGAAUCCAGGAGAGGUGAGUGGAAUUCCGAGUGUAGAGGUGAAAUUCGUAGAUAUUCGGAAGAACACCAGUGGCGAAGGCGGCUCACUGGACUGGUAUUGACGCUGAGGUGCGAGAGCGUGGGGGAGCAAACAGGAUUAGAUACCCUGGUAGUCCACGCCGUAAACGAUGAUAACUAGCUGUCCGGGGGACUUGGUCCUUGGGUGGCGCAGCUAACGCAUUAAGUUAUCCGCCUGGGGAGUACGGCCGCAAGGUUAAAACUCAAAUGAAUUGACGGGGUCAUAGCUGUUUCCU